rnacentral:rRNA from 1 species
CGGGCAACCUGCCCUCAGCUCUGGGAUAACUCCGGGAAACCGGGGCUAAUACCGGAUACGACCUUCCCUCGCAUGGGGGUUGGUGGAAAGUUCUUCGGCUGAGGAUGGGCCCGCGGCCUAUCAGCUUGUUGGUGGGGUGAUGGCCUACCAAGGCGACGACGGGUAGCCGGCCUGAGAGGGCGUGCGGCCACACUGGGACUGAGACACGGCCCAGACUCCUACGGGAGGCA